GGGGCCAGGCGUUGAGAAGCUCAGGGAACCCAACCAGAGCGCAAGCCGUAGCUGGAAGGGCAGGGACUCGCAGAGGAGGAAUAGGAAAGGCGCCCAGCACAGCAGCAGAGAAAAAACAAAACAAAACAAAACAGUACAAGAGAGGGGCGGAGCAUGGCAGAGGGGGGCGUGGCCGAGAGGCCCGGCAGACGGGGGUGUGGCCGGCUCUUCCGCGCCGAAGCCCCGCCUUUCCCUCCCCCCCCUCUCCGCCUGUCCCUCUUCUGGAGAGAGGCAAGCUGCUAUCGGAGGGGGAGCCAGGCAACAGGGCAGGCAAGCUCCUCUCGUGAUCUGGCCGACGUGGAGAGGGAGGACCCAGAUCCCCAUUACUCUCGAUCGCUGUGCCCAGCCUUCCCUUCUCGCCAUGUCCCACAGCAGGCAUCGCACCGAGGCCCCGCCGCUGGAGCGCGAGGACAGCGGGACCUUCAGUUUGGGCAAGAUGAUAACAGCCAAGCCUGGGAAAACACCGAUUCAGGUGAAGGGACCAGUAAGAAGCUGGCGAAGCACAGAGCUGCAGAGGCCGCCAUCAACAUUUUGAAAGCCAACGCAAGUAUCUGUUUUGCAGUUCCUGACCCCUUAAUGCCUGAUCCAUCCAAACAGCCAAAGAACCAGCUGAAUCCAAUCGGCUCGUUACAGGAACUGGCUAUUCACCACGGCUGGCGACUUCCUGAAUAUACCCUUUCCCAGGAAGGAGGCCCUGCUCAUAAGAGAGAAUACACCACUAUUUGCCGGCUAGAGUCAUUCAUGGAAACAGGAAAGGGAGCAUCCAAAAAACAAGCCAAGAGAAAUGCUGCUGAGAAAUUUCUUGCCAAAUUUAGUAAUAUUUCUCCAGAGAACCACAUUUCUCUAACGAAUAUGGUCGGACAUUCCCUAGGAUGUACUUGGCAUUCGUUGAGGAAUUCCCCUGGUGAAAAGAUCAACUUACUAAAAAGAAGCCUCCUCAGUCUCCCGAACACAGACUACAUCCAGCUGCUGAGUGAGAUUGCCAAGGAGCAAGGCUUUACCAUAACGUAUCUGGACAUAGAGGAACUGAGUGCCAACGGGCAGUAUCAGUGUCUCGCAGAACUGUCCACCAGUCCUAUCACCGUGUGUCAUGGCUCAGGCAUCUCCUGCAGCAAUGCACAGAGCGACGCCGCGCACAAUGCCCUCCAGUAUUUAAAGAUAAUAGCAGAAAGGAAGUAGGAGCGGGCAGCUGAGCUCUCCAGCCGUGCCUCCGUCCCCCUUGCACCUCUUCCCAGUGGCACAUUUACUGCGAUACACGUUGAGCGGUCCUGCCCUGUCCCCGUCUCUUCGGGGUCCGUCGGCCUUCCAGACCCAAUUGUCUCCUGGUAGUUGCUGUUCAGCUCUUUUUAAUGGCUUCAACUUUGUACUGGUGAGCGCUCUGAUGAACAUUUUCGUUUGGAUGGCUUGUUAUCUGCAUGCCGCUAGCUUACUGCAGAAAUUCAAAGGUAAAAUUCUGUAGCUGAAGGACGAUCUACAGAUAUCUGUGGGCAUCACUGUUUGAUUUUUGCAGUCAAUCCUAAUCCUAUGCAACACUGUGUUUUUUCUUGACACAGCCAUUGAUUGGUGAGUUAGUGGUUUGAAAAAGGGUUACUACAGAAAUGAUGACAACAGAAACAUUUCCAAUUCAUUCGAUUCUUUUACCAGAAUAUUUCAAAGAUUUGACUUGAUUUAAAGGUUAGAAAAAGAGCAGGAGAUGGCUCAGUGGGUCAAGGGGCUUGCUGCUAACCUUGACAGCUCGCUGAUUCUCAGAACCACAUGGAGGAAGGAGAGAGCUGACUCCCACGCGUGGUUCUCUGACCUCCACAGGUGUGCUAUGACACACACAUACAAUCAAUCAAUACAUAAAUGUCAAAAUACAUGCAUUUGAAAAGUUGCGGGGAAAGGCUGGAAAAGGUUAGAUUCUUAAAUGCACGAUGACCUAUCCCCUUUUGGGAGCGUGGCUGAUCUUCUAUGAGAGGUCUCCAUGCUUGUUCGAGCUGGGGACAGCCACCAGUCAGUCAUCCUUUCUAGGCAGCCUGCGUUCAGAGACUCACCGUACUGCCCACAUUGGGAUGAUCUUAUAAUGCUUAUCUCAGUUCCAGAGUUCCCAUACACAGGGACAGUUUACUCUGCCUUGUGGGUAUUUUUUUUUUGUGGGUGGUUUGGAUUUGAAUUUGUUUUUUUUUUUUUUUUUUUUUUUUUUUUUAAAACAGCGUCACUACAUAGCCCUAGCAGUCCUGGAACUCACUACGUAGAUCAAGCUGACUUUGAACUCCAGAGAUCCUCCUGUCUCUGCCUCCCAAGUGCUAGAAUUAAAGGCCUGUGCCACUACACGUGGCCAGAGACUGCCUUUUUGUUUGCAGUAUCCCCACUUCUCCC